rnacentral:miRNA from 1 species
UAUUAGGUUGAUGCAAAAGUAAUUGAAGUUUUUGCCAUUAAAAGUAACGCCAAGAACUGCAGUUACUUUUGCACCAACCUAAUAUAGUUCUCACACAGUAAAAUUC